rnacentral:rRNA from 1 species
AUUGAACGCUGGCGGCAUGCUUUACACAUGCAAGUCGAACGGCAGCGCGGGCUUCGGCCUGGCGGCGAGUGGCGAACGGGUGAGUAAUACAUCGGAACGUGCCCAGUAGUGGGGGAUAGCUCGGCGAAAGCCGGAUUAAUACCGCAUACGACCUGAGGGUGAAAGCGGGGGAUCUUCGGACCUCGCGCUAUUGGAGCGGCCGAUGGCAGAUUAGCUAGUUGGUGGGGUAAAGGCCUACCAAGGCGACGAUCUGUAGCUGGUCUGAGAGGACGACCAGCCACACUGGGACGGGGAAACGGCCCAGACUCCUAGGGGAGGAAGCAGUGGGGAAUUUUGGACAAUGGGCGAAGGCCUGAUCCAGCAAUGCCGCGUGUGUGAUGAAGGCCUUCGGGUGGUAAAGCACUUUUGGCGGGAACGAAAAGGACUGUGCCAAUACCACGGUUCGAUGACGGUACCCGCAGAAUAAACACCGGCUAACUACGU